rnacentral:rRNA from 1 species
UUAGGAAUCUUCCCCAAUGGGCGCAAGCCUGAGGGAGCGACACUGCGUGAAGGACGAAGGUUUUCGGAUCGUAAACUUCUGAACGAGGGACGAAUAAUGACGGUACCUCGCUAAAAGCACCGGCUAACUCCGUGCCAGCAGCCGCGGUAAUACGGAGGGUGCAAGCGUUGUCCGGAAUCACUGGGUGUAAAGGGUGUGCAGGCGGACUGUCAAGUCAGUGGUGAAAGCCCGCAGCUCAACUGCGGAAGUGCCAUUGAAACUGGCAGUCUUGAGUCCCGGAGGGGUCAUCGGAAUUCGUGGUGUAGCGGUGAAAUGCGUAGAUAUCACGAGGAACACCAGAAGCGUAAGCGGAUGACCGGACGGUGACUGACGCUCAGGCACGAAAGCGUGGGGAGCAAACAGGAUUAGAUACCCGUGUAGUCC